UGGGGAAUUUUGGACAAUGGGCGAAAGCCUGAUCCAGCAAUGCCGCGUGUGUGAAGAAGGCCUUCGGGUUGUAAAGCACUUUUGUCCGGAAAGAAAUCCUUGGCUCUAAUACAGUCGGGGGAUGACGGUACCGGAAGAAUAAGCACCGGCUAACUACGUGCCAGCAGCCGCGGUAAUACGUAGGGUGCAAGCGUUAAUCGGAAUUACUGGGCGUAAAGCGUGCGCAGGCGGUUUGCUAAGACCGAUGUGAAAUCCCCGGGCUCAACCUGGGAACUGCAUUGGUGACUGGCAGGCUAGAGUAUGGCAGAGGGGGGUAGAAUUCCACGUGUAGCAGUGAAAUGCGUAGAGAUGUGGAGGAAUACCGAUGGCGAAAGGCAGCCCCCUGGGCCAAAUACUGACGCUCAUGCACGAAAGCGUGGGGAGCAAACAGGAUUAGAUACCCUGGUAGUCCACGCCCUAAACGAUGUCAGCUAGUUGUUGGGGAUUCAUUUCCUUAGUAACGUAGCUAACGCGUGAAGUUGACCGCCUGGGGAGUACGGUCGCAAGAUUAAAACUCAAAUGAAUUGACGGGGUCAUAGCUGUUUCCU
rnacentral:rRNA from 1 species